rnacentral:pre_miRNA from 1 species
UCUUGAAAACCAUGUUUGGUGGUCCCUGAGAAUGCUCCGACAUCUUCGAAGUAGCGUAGCUGUCGAGCACCAUUGGGGACCAGCGGAUUUUUGGUUAUAAUUUUUUUCAAG